GCUCCGUAAUCGGAAUGAGUACACUUUAAAUCCUUUAACGAGGAUCUAUUCGAGGGCAAGUCUGGUGCCAGCAGCCGCGUAAUUCCAGCUCCAAUAGCGUAUAUUAUUAUUGUUGCGGUUAAAAAGCUCGUAGUUGGAUCUCGGUUUCGGGCGAGCGGUGUACCUUGCGGUAUUUACUGUUUGCCCGGACGAUUUUGUUGGUUCGUUUAUGGUUCUCUUAACCGAGUGCCAUAAGUGGCCAGCACGUUUACUUUGAAAAAAUUGGAGUGCUCAAAGCAGGCGCUACAGCCUGAACAUUAGUGCAUGGAAUAAUGGAAUAGGAUCUCGGUUCUAUUUCGUUGGCUUUCGGAGUCGAGGUAAUGAUUAAUAGGGACAGACGGGGGCAUUCGUACUGCGACGUUAGAGGUGAAAUUCUUGGAUCGUCGCAAGACGAACUACUGCGAAAGCAUUUGCCAAGAAUGUUUUCAUUAAUCAAGAUCGAAAGUUAGAGGUUCGAAGGCGAUCAGAUACCGCCCUAGUUCUAACCAUAAACGAUGUCGACCGGCGAUCCGUUAUCGUUAACUGAAUGACUUAACGGGCAGCCUCCGGGAAACCAGAGUGUUUGGAUUCCGGGGGAAGUAUGGUUGCAAAGCUGAAACUUAAAAGAAUUGACGGAAGGGCACCACCAGGAGUGGAGCCUGCGGCUUAAUUUGACCCAACACGGGAAAUCUCACCAGGCCCGGACACCGGAAGGAUUGACAGAUUGAGAGCUCUUUCUUGAUUCGGUGGGUGGUGGUGCAUGGCCGUUCUUAGUUGGUGGAGCGAUUUGUCUGGUUAAUUCCGAUAACGAACGAGACUCUGGCCUACUAACUAGACGUUAGAUCCCUUUGUGGGUCUAUCGCAGCUUCUUAGGGACGGGCGGCGUUUAGCCGCACGAGAUUGAGCAAUAACAGGUCUGUGAUGCCCUUAGAUGUUCUGGGCUGCACGCGCGCUACACUGAAGGAAUCAGCGUGUGUUCCCUACCCGAAAGGGUUGGGAAACCCGUUGAACCUCCUUCGUGAUGGGGAUUGGGGAUUGCAAUUAUUCCCCAUGAACGAGGAAUUCCCAGUAGGCGCGAGUCAUAAGCUUGCGUCGAUUACGUCCCUGCCCUUUGUACACACCGCCCGUCGCUACUACCGAUCGAGUGAUUUAGUGAGGCCUUCGGACUGGUCUUCAGUAUGGCUUUCGGGUCGUGUUGGAGUACCGGAAAGAUAACCAAACUUGAUCACUUAGAGGAAGUAAAAGUCGUAACAAGGUUUCCGUAGGUGAACCUGCGGAAG
rnacentral:rRNA from 1 species